AUCUACAGGAUCUGAAGACCCAGCCUAUUCCAGUGUUCAAGGUGGAGAGCAGACUGGACUCUGACCAACAACACAGUCUGCAGGCACAUCCAAGCACUCCUGUGUGAUUAUGUACAUAUUCAAACACAUUUUUUAACUUUUUUAAAUUUUGAUGUGAAGUUAUAGUUUUAUAACUGGCUUAAGUUAAGUUUUAUUGGAGAAAUCUUGCCUAUAAUUCUAUAAAGAGAAAUGACAUUCCACAAAUGUCAAGCAUAUCUUUUUUACACAGAUUAUGCAAAGCUAAGAGUUGUAUCUUAUCCCGUUAGUACAGUAUGUAAUAGUGGGUCUGCUGCUACUUUCUGUUUUAAGGUGUGAGGUUACAAUUCAAUCUCUUCUUCAAAUCAGAACAAGAAUUCUCUGGAAUAGCAGGUUCUUACUUGGUAAAGUAUUUACUUCCCUUGAUUCUAUCUUUCUUGUCUCUUGCCAUACUUGUUUAUGUGGCAGAAAGCAGAUUUAUGGUUUAGUACUUGUGUCUUCAUGGCACUCCAUUAGUUUCCACUGUAAAAUGGUAUUGGUUUCAGGAAAGGCUCCUGCAUCUGGUACGUGGACAAGUGAGUUGCUUAAUUCUAACCACAAAGAAGACAUGGUCUCUAAAGAAAACUGGUUUUUAGCAAAAGAGGAAGCACAGCACUUUCGGAUCCAGGCCGCCUUUUUGUGUCUGUUAUUUAAAACC
rnacentral:lncRNA from 1 species